rnacentral:rRNA from 1 species
UGUUACACUUUAUAUGAAUUAUAAUAUUACCUGGGUAUUAAACAGUUAUUGUCUUGAAACUCAAAGGAUUUGGCGGUAACUUAGUCUAUUUAGAGGAACCUGUCCUGUAAUCGAUAGUCCACGAAAAAUCUUACUUUAUCUUGUAGAAAACAGUUUGUAUACCGUCAUUAUUAGAUAACUUUAAUAAAAUCUAAAGUUGUUGAAAGAGUUUGGCUAAUAUAUUAGAUCAAGGUGCAGCUUAUGUUAAAGGAAGAGAUGGGUUACAAUAUAAUAAUUAUAAACGGAGUAAUAAGUGAAUGUUUAUUAUUGAAGGUGGAUUUAAAAGUAAAAAGACUUUAAUAAGGUCUUUUGACUUUAGCUCUAGGUUAU